UACGUAGGGGGCAAGCGUUGUCCGGAAUCAUUGGGCGUAAAGCGCGCGUAGGCGGCCCGGUAAGUCCGCUGUGAAAAGUCCAGGGCUCAACCCUGGGAUGCCGGUGGAUACUGUCGGGCUCGAGUCCGGAAGAGGAGUGUGGGAAUUCCUGGUGUAGCGGUGAAAUGCGCAGAUAUCAGGAGGAACACCAAUGGCGAAGGCAGCACUCUGGGAC
rnacentral:rRNA from 1 species